rnacentral:rRNA from 1 species
CCUACGGGAGGCAGCAGUGGGGAAUAUUGGACAAUGGGGGGAACCCUGAUCCAGCCAUGCCGCGUGUGUGAAGAAGGCCCUCGGGUUGUAAAGCACUUUCAGUGAGGAAGAACGCCUGGUGGUUAAUACCCAUCAGGAAAGACAUCACUCACAGAAGAAGCACCGGCUAACUCCGUGCCAGCAGCCGCGGUAAUACGGAGGGUGCGAGCGUUAAUCGGAAUUACUGGGCGUAAAGCGCGCGUAGGUGGCUUGAUAAGCCGGGUGUGAAAGCCCCGGGCUCAACCUGGGAACGGCAUCCGGAACUGUCAAGCUAGAGUGCAGGAGAGGAAGGUAGAAGUCCCGGUGUAGCGGUGAAAUGCGUAGAGAUCGGGAGGAAUACCAGUGGCGAAGGCGGCCUUCUGGACUGACACUGACACUGAGGUGCGAAAGCGUGGGUAGCAAACAGGAUUAGAUACCCGAGUAGUC